UACGUAGGGAGCAAGCGUUGUCCGGAUUUACUGGGUGUAAAGGGUGCGUAGGCGGGCUUGCAAGUCAGAAGUGAAAUCUAUGGGCUUAACCCAUAAACUGCUUUUGAAACUGUAAGUCUUGAGUGAAGUAGAGGUAGGCGGAAUUCCCGGUGUAGCGGUGAAAUGCGUAGAUAUUAGGGGGAACACCAGUGGCGAAGGCGGCCUGCUGGACGGUGUACUGACGCUGAGGCUCGAAAGCGUGGGGAGCAAACAGG
rnacentral:rRNA from 1 species